rnacentral:rRNA from 1 species
GAUGAACGCUGGCGGCGUGCCUAACACAUGCAAGUCGAGCGAACAGACGAUGAGCUUCCUCCUUCAACGAUAGGGGCAGUCGGUUGAAUAACCCGCGGAUACCCUACCUAGAAGACAGAAAGACCUUCGGAACACCGGAGACAAUACGCUCUUAAAUCAUGAACCGCGUGGUGUAAUAGUGAAAUACGGACUUGCUGUCAGUCAUAGAUGCAUCCGCGCCGGAUUGGGUGGUUGGUGAGGUAACGGCUUAGCAAGGCGACGACGCGUACACGACCUGUGCGGGUGAUCGGCCACCCUGGAACUGAGACACGGUCCAGACGCCUACGGGAGGCAGCAGUAGGGAAUCGUCCGCAAUGGGCGAAAGUCUGACAGAGCAACGGCACGCGAGUGAUGAAGGUGUUCGGAUCGUAAAACUCUGUUAUGAGGGAAGAACAGAUGUGGAAGUGACUAUGCACGUAUUGACGGUACCGAAUCAGAAAGCCACGGCUAACUACGUG